AGUGAACGCUGGCGGUAGGCCUAACACAUGCAAGUCGAACGGCAGCACAGGAGAGCUUGCUCUCUGGGUGGCGAGUGGCGGACGGGUGAGGAAUACAUCGGAAUCUACUCUGUCGUGGGGGAUAACGUAGGGAAACUUACGCUAAUACCGCAUACGACCUACGGGUGAAAGCAGGGGACCUUCGGGCCUUGCGCGAUUGAAUGAGCCGAUGUCGGAUUAGCGAGUUGGCGGGGUAAAGGCGCACCAAGGCGACGAUCCGGAGCUGGUCUGAGAGUAUGACCAGCCACACUGGAACUGGGACACGGUCCAGACUCCUACGGGAGGCAGGAGUGGGGAAUAUUGGACAAUGGGCGCAAGCCUGAUCCAGCCAUACCGCGUGGGUGAAGAAGGCCUUCGGGUUGUAAAGCCCUUUUGUUGGGAAAGAAAUCCAGCUGGCUAAUACCCGGUUGGGAUGACGGUACCCAAAGAAUAAGCACCGGCUAACUUCGUGCCAGCCGCCGCAGUAA
rnacentral:rRNA from 1 species